rnacentral:rRNA from 1 species
UACGGAGGGUGCGAGCGUUGUCCGGAAUCACUGGGCGUAAAGGGCGCGUAGGUGGCUCGUGAAGCGUGCGGUGAAAGUCCGAGGCUCAACCUCGGAUCGGCCGUGCGGACUCGCGGGCUCGAGCGUUGUAGAGGCGGGUGGAAUUCCGGGUGUAGCGGUGGAAUGCGUAGAGAUCCGGAAGAACACCGGUGGCGAAGGCGGCCCGCUGGGCAACUGCUGACACUGAUGCGCGACAGCGUGGGGAGCAAACAGGAUUAGAUACCCUGGUAGUCCACGCCGUAAACGAUGGGCACUAGGUGCUUCGGGGAGCGACCCUCGGAGUGCCGGCGCUAACGCAUUAAGUGCCCCGCCUGGGGAGUACGGCCGCAAGGCUGAAACUCAAAG